CAAGAUGUAGCUAUAACAAAAGCAUUCAGCUUACACCUGAAAGAUACCUGUAUUGCACCAGGUCAUCUUGA
rnacentral:tRNA from 1 species